CAGGGGACUUUUUCCAGGAUUUGCUCUAGCUUCAAUUCAUCACUCUCCCAGAUCUGCAUCCUUUUCCCUCCCUUCACUCUUCCCAAUCUCCCCAAAACGUCCAUCCCUACCCAAAUCCCUUCCAUUCUGGAAAUUUUCUUGAUUUUUGAUCCAAAGAUGUGUUCUUGAUCUCCAAGAUUCAUUUCCAAUUGAGCUCGAGGGGUGUUAAUGUCUAUGCGAGUUGCACAUAGGACAGAUCGGAGUAGCCAAACAUCGCGGUAUAAAGAGGACGAGGAGGAGGAUGGUAAAUUUUCUCCGGGGAGGGCGGCUCAGGACCCUAUCAAGAUGAUCUGGAGUAGAGGCUUUGUCCGGCUUGUCUUUGUGUCGGCCAUUGUUUGGAUGUUGCUCAUUCUUAUCGCGCUGUUGUUUUAUGUUUGGUCGUGUAGUUCCAAUAUCAGAUUCUUAUCAGCUUUGUGUAAAAAAGAUAGCAAAGUGCUCAAUAUGUUAGACAGCAUUGGGCUGUCACCAAAACCACAACAUCGUUGCCCAAUUCUUCUCACUGAUCCUGAGGCCAUAGUAAUCCCAAGGAGAACUCCUAAUACCAUUCCUAAAAGGUUGUCAUAUAUCACAAUGGAUGAGAAAGCAAAUCCUCCACUAUUUGGUGGACAUCAAAGUUGGACAGAGAGAGAGAAUAUCUUUCAACUUAACACGACAAUGAAGAUAUGCCCUGCACAAGCAAUCACAAUUGAAGUAGAGGAACAUAAAGAUGGCAGUCAUCACACUGCCAGAGGUUGUAUUAAGCCCGCCAUUUGUUUUUCUUCCUCUGGUGUAGAGUUUGUUGCGCUCUGAUUUUCAUGUUGCUGCACAAAAUUGCUGGGUAAAGAAAGGAGGUGCUUUCACUGGAGAGAUUAGCGGUGAGAUGCUUGUUAAUCUGGGCAUCCCAUGGGUCAUUCUUGGUCAUUCUGAGCGAAGAGCAUUGUUGGGUGAAUCAAAUGAG